GGCUUGGUAAGAACGGGACUUAACCCGCCUG
rnacentral:tRNA from 1 species